AAAAGAAAGAGAAAUAACAGAAAAAUGUAGCUCCCAUUCUGCUAUAAGAGAAGUACAUUCCCUCAUGAUUACUCACGCAUUCACUGAUUAUUCUCACCAAUUCACUAUCAAUACACUCUCUCUCUCUCACGUUUAGAGGGAGCUAAAUUUGAGAUAAAAAUUUCAGUUCUGAAGAACAAAAAUACUCCAGAAAAUCACAACAAAAACAAAAAAAUAUAUUUUAAAAGUGCUUCCUAAAUUCUGUCAAUUCACUUUAACAUUUUUCUGGGUUUCAAGCUGAUUUUGGGUCAAAUUUGAAGUUGUUUCUCUGCUUGGAUUUGCUGUUUUCUCGAUUAGCUGAGCUCUAACUCUAGUUGAUUUCAGCCUUUAUUUGGCAACUUGCCAUUUAUUUUUCUGCUGCUAAGAUUCAACUAGCUCAUGAAUUUGACCACCAGUUGGUCAAAUGCAUUAGUUAGAGGUCUCAAAGUUAAAUUGAGCAAUUCUAAAUUCAUUGUGAUAGGCAUGGAUGAUUAGAAACGAAGAUUUGGGAUACAUUUGGUUCUAAGAGAUCUAUUAAGAAUUCAUAAUUGUAUUUGGUAGAACAGUAAUCUUAAUGUAAUAAUUUUUUGAAUCACAUAAGAGCUAAAUUUCUUUUAGUAUUGCGAUCCAGUUUACAAUGUAGAAAUCAAUUGUAUGUGUGAUCUUGAAGAUGGCAGUCUUCAUUGUGUUUCACUGAUCUUUACAGUUUGAGUUUUGUUAUUAGGCCUGGGUGCCAUGACAGGCCCAUCUCGGGUUCUCUUGUAAAUUAAGAGCACUGGAGGUUUAUGUAGGGUCUGGCCACGUGAAAUCUACCAGGCCCAAGCCCCACACAAGGAUUUCGAUUUGGGAUCCCAUUUGGCCUGUAGUAACAAGAUGUAAUAGUUUUGAAUUUAAUUUCCUUUCUCUUCCGUGACUUUCUGUUGAACAACCUUAAAUUGUAAAUAAUUUAGAGUUAGAUUUAGCUUAAUUUCCUCUCCAUAUACUCUAUCAUCCCUAAAAUGUAAUCAAGGUCACAGUGGUCACGUAUUUAUUCUAGGAGCUUUAAAAAAUGAAGAAUGCAUCCUUGUGCAAUA